UACGAAGGGGGCUAGCGUUGCUCGGAAUCACUGGGCGUAAAGGGUGCGUAGGCGGGCCUUUAAGUCCGGGGUGAAAUCCUGGAGCUCAACUCCAGAACUGCCUUUGAUACUGAGGAUCUUGAGUACGGGAGAGGUGAGUGGAACUGCGAGUGUAGAGGUGAAAUUCGUAGAUAUUCGCAAGAACACCAGUGGCGAAGGCGGCUCACUGGCCCGUUACUGACGCUGAGGCACGAAAGCGUGGGGAGCAAACAGG
rnacentral:rRNA from 1 species